UCCCGUGUCGUGAAUUGUGUCCCGAACGUAGUGCGGGAUGACAAGGUUAUGGCCGAUUUCCUUGUGCGGAGAUUUCGACCGGGCGUUGUCGAGAUUGUGCACGUAAGGAAGUGAAUUCUCGAAAUACGAGGAUUGGACUUCGUGUGGAAUCGACCAAGGGUCGUGUUGGUGUGCUNCUUCGAAAAGUCGAAGAUGUCUAAGUCACCGAAGGUGCGUUGGAGUUGAAGUCCACGAGAGCAAGUAGUGCAGACCUGUACUUGGCGGAGUUUGCUCUCGGGGACCGGUCCCUGGCAGGGAGAGACCGGUCCCCGUAGCUGAUAGGUGCAGGGUUGCUUGAUGCAACUGGUCCCUAGGCCAGAGGGUUCGGUCCCCCGUGCGCGAAGUCAGUUAGAAGAUGUAAGCUUUAUAUUAUGUUUUGGAAGCUUAAUGUAUAAUCAAAAUAUAUAAAGGUUGAAUGAAUGUAAUAGAUAAAAUGUAUCUCUCUUUUAUUCACUUGUAUGUUGGUUACUCGUGAUGCUUGCUCUUGGUUGUUUAGCACUGUUUGUGCUCUCGCUAUCGUUGUAUGAUCAUGUAUGUAAUCAAGUGUAUCUCCUGGGAACUUGUGUGCAUGAUCUCGUUGUUUAGCCUUGGGCGGACAGGGGAGAUGCUGUCCGUUCGGCGUCCGCUCGCUGCGCCCGAACCGGACCAAAUUGGUAGCGGCCUCGGGGCGGGGGCGUGACAUUCUUGCUCUUUGUUGUUGACACUGUUUGUGCCCUGUUGAUCGUGUAUGUUUGAAUUUAUUUAUUCUGGGCAAAUUCUUAUACAUGAUCAGGUUGUGAGCCUUGGGCGGGUAGGGGAGUUGCUCCCCGUUCGGCGUCUGUUCGAUGCACCCGAGCCGUGCCAAAUUGGUAAUGGUCUCAGGGCGUGACAUGUCUGUUCGGCGCCUGUUCGACGUGCUCGGACCGGCCAAAUUGAUCGGUCCCGGGGCGUGACAAAGAGCUUACCUCUAACAAGCUUUCCUCCUAAGCAAAGGAAGAAGAAGAAGAAGCUCCACCUCCUAGUACUUUUCUCCACCUUCUCCUCCUCUUGGUUCCACUAUUAGGAGAAAGAGAGAGCUUAGAGAGAGAGAGAGUUUACUUUUCUCUUUGGUUGCAAAAUGUGAGGAAGAGUAAGAGGGAAGAGGGACCAUCACCCCUAAAUAGCCCCUACCUUCACAUAAUUGCAUAAAACACCCUCUACUCUUCUUUUCAUGCACUGUCCAAACUGGGCGUUUUUUGGCUACGGGGUCCGGACCCUGCAGAGGGUCCCCACCCCGAGAGCAUCACUUCUGCGAAAAUUUGCAGAAUUGCAGCAUCAUGCUCUCCAAGGUCCUCUACAACCCCCUCCCCCCCUCGUCGAGCCAUUUCGACGCGUUCGAGCCUUUCCAAAGCGUCCGGAAGCGAUCAACUCCGCACUUUGGUCAAUUUCAACCGAGGUUCGGUUUCAUGCAUCGAGGAUUCAUUACCUUACACUGAUUGUUUCGGAUAGUACCCCCCCAACUCUUAUGAUGCCGAAGUGCGAGAAUCCAAGCCUCGUGAUUUAUGGACGUCGUUUCGACUCGACCCAAUGUAAACAAACCAAGAACUGUCCUUUUUCUCAACGACUCGCCACAUGCCCGUAGGAACUCCGAUUUGAGUUGCCCACCGUGUCAGUUUUACCCUCAAUUAGAUUUACAUAGGCUUAAUUUAGAUCAAAACCCACCAUGAUCAAAAGCCCUCUUUGAAACCCUAAAAAAACCCUCAUAUGGCAUAAAAUCCAACUCUCAUGGUAGUUUAUGCAAUAACAUGGAUUAAAAUCACCUAAGGUUCCAAUACAACUCAUUUCUAAGGGAUUAUACGAAAACCCUAACUCAAAACUCUCAAAAUCUAUGAGGCUUACCUCAAACUCAAGCUUCUUCUCAAGCUAAUGGUGAAGAAGAUGGUAGCUUCACCUCCAAGCAAGCUCUCCUCCACUAUUCUCCACCUCUUAGAGCAAACCCUAGAAGAGAGAGAGAGGUUUAAAGAGAGAAGCUCUUCACUUUCGUUGGUGGUGUGAGGGGAAGUGAAGGAAAUGAGUUAAGAACCCAUCCAUAUACUCCACCACGUACACAAUUGCACCUAGCCACUCACACAUCACACUCCCAACUCUACCUGUCAUAUUUCGUGUACGGGGUCCGAAACCUACCUUUAGGUUCCGGACCCCGAGAGCAUUUCAAGCACGAAAAUUUUUCAAACUUUUCCAUCUUGCUCUCCAAGGUCCCUUACACCCUUACAAGCCAUUUCGAUCAUUCGGAACACUCAACGGACCUUUCUGAAGCGUCCAAUACCACACUUUAGUAAAUUUUGACUAAAGUUCGAUUUAACGCAUCGAGAACUCGGUACAUUAUAGUGGUGGUCGCUCCACCCAAGCAAUGGUCCCCGAAGUUCUUCACAGGUAGGUUAACGUAGCUACCCUGCAGACGGUCCCCAAUGGGUUGUAGCAGUGCUCCUCAUUUGCGGGAUUCGGUUGUGAGUCGGGGCUCAACCUUCAGGUUAGCCGGUAAGAUUGGGUCAAAGAGAAAAGAGACAGGUUGAUUGAUCAUAUUGUACCCUAUGCUAGUUUGCAUUGUUGCAUCUUAUGUAAAGAGCGAGCAUAGUAAGAUCACAGGUUGAGUGAUGGGUCGAUCAUGAUAUCCCCGUGAGUAGCCUAUAGUGGGUGAUGGAGCGGUAGCUACUCUCCACGAGGCUAAGUGGGGUGAGUUGGGCUGGUUUUGUGAGAAGCCCCAAUUGGGUCAAGAAUGAAUUGGGUUAAGAGUGUGUGAGGGACACUGUUGAACAUAUUGGACCAUGACAUUCAUUCCUUAUUGUAAGGCGUAGUAGUAGACAUUGUUGCAUGUUGUAUGUUUAGUAGUGGUAGACUACGUGAUUAGUUACUUAUAUAUUGCAUUGCUGUCCCCUUUCGUAUUACUAUGCCUUAUUGGACCUAGUGGAAAAGUCGGUGAGAUCGGCGGCAGAACGCACUGGGAACUUCUUUUAGUUCUCACCCCCUGUGCAGAGCCACCAUUCGCGGAGCGGCACCAGAUCGAGGCGUGGGCAUUGCGCCCUAGAUAGCAGGGUCACCCAGUUUAGGUCGCCCUAUGCACAAGCAACAGAAUGUAAAAGUUUAUUGAAAAUGUAAUUUGGAAUGUAAUUGUACUUUGGAGAAAUCAUUCUUGUAUCAAUGUAAAGUGAGAAAAUGCAUGUAAAAAUGUGAUUGUACCAAUGUUGUAAUAGUUAGGUUUACAUUCUCGCUCUUGUGAUAUGCUCUGGCGCAAAACUGUAUUAUAUUGUUUUUCCUAUGUGAAAUUCAAUGUACUUGUUUUGUUGAGCCUUGGACGGACAGGGAAGGCUCUAAGAUCAUAAAGUUACAGUGAUUGUACCAAUGUGACUGUAAGGUAUCGGACUUCUAAGAUCAUAAAGUUACGGUGUACAUUUGGUUGGAGAGCCAUUAGAAUAGUUUCAGUGAAGUUCCGGUUAAGUCCGGAAGCAUUUGGGGGUUUCGGUGCGCGUAGGCGCAAAAAGGGACCCAAAAGGCUAUGUUGGGUCGUGAACUAAAUCCGGCGUUAGCGUAGAUGAAAAGAUGAUGAAAACACGCUCGAAAACAUGUUUGGAGAGUCUCGGUUCGAUUUGAAAAGAAUCGGAGGCCGAACGAGCGAAACGAGCGAAAACGGAGAAGAAACGGUGAAAAAGCUGAAAAUUUGGCUGUCCUAAAAUGCUGGAAUUCUGGACCUACGGGGACCGGUCGCUCAAGUCCAAGGACCGGUCCCCUAUACAAAAAAAAAUGCCCCGCGAGGGGCAGUGCACUAAAUGCAUUGUUGAGGGGUUUUUAUGCAAUUUUGCACUUACGAGAGUGCAUAGAAGGGGGGGAUUUGUGUCUUUCUCUCUUCUCCCUCAUUUUUCAACCCUAAACUCUCCCCCCCUCUCUCUAGAAAGAAAAAAGGAGAAGAGGAGGAAGAAGAAGAAGAAGAAGUUGGUGGAGAAGAAGAUCAAGAAGAGGAGCUCCAUUCUCUUCAUCUUCUUCCUCGAGUGGGAGCAAGCUUUUGGAGGUAAGCUAUAAGGUACCGGACUUCUAAAAUCAUGAGGUUACGGUGUACAUUUGGUUGGAAAGCCAUUUGAAUGGUUCCGGUGAGGUUCGGUGAAGCCCGGAAGCAUUCGAGCGUUUCGGUGCGCGUAGGCGUGUAAACGGGACCCGGAAGGAUACGUUGUGCCGCAAACUAAAUCCGGCAUUUGCGGGGACGAAAACAUGAUGCAAAUACGGUCGAAAUCAUGUUUUAAGUGUCUCGGUUCGAUUUGAGAUGAAUCGGAAGUCAAACGGGCGAAAACGGAGCAAAAUAGGCAAAAGCUGAAAAUUGCUAUUUUCUGGUCCAUGGGGGACCGGUCCCUACAUGGGAGGACCGGUCCCCGUACGCGAAAUUGCCCAUUUUGGGCUGUUUGAGAGGUUGGGAGUUGAGGGGGCUUAUUGCAAUUGUUACACAAGUUGGAGACAAAGAGAGGUGAUAGCCCUCUCUCUUUCUCAUUCUCCCUCAAUCGUAGCCCUCCUUCUCUCUCUCUAAAACUCUCUCUUUCUCUCUCUAAGAAGUGGAGCAAGAAGGUGGAGUUGGAGGAGAAAGCUUGAAGAAGUGGGUUUCAUCUUCUUCUUCUUCAUCUUUAGGCCAUUGGAGCAAGCUCUAAGGUAAGCUUUUGAUGCUCAACAAUGGUAGCUUUCUAUAGUUUGGGUUUUGAACUCUAAGAAUGGGUUUAGAGUUAUUCUAGCAUGCUAAUUAGAGGUUUGAUGGUUGAAUCCUAAGCUUUAAUGGUGGAUUUAGCCUAGUUGUAAACCUAGGGCUUAAAGUGGGUUUCUUGGUAGAUCAUGGGUUUUGAUCUCUAGAAAUGGUGUUUUUGGAAUCCUAGGAUGCUAAUGAGAUGUUUAUUACCUAAAUCUUUGGUUGAUUUGGAGUAUUUAGUGCUAAUGGCAUCUAGGGCUUCAAAAAAUGGGAGUUUUGUAAAUAGUUGGGUUUGAUCUCUUUUAACCCUCUGUAAACCUAAUUGAUAGGUCGCUGAACGCGUGGGAAGCGACGGUUCGUCGAUUCAUCGAGCGGGUGCGACGUUCCGGCUAAAACAAGUGUUCGUGGGUUCGUAUUGACCCGAGGAGCCGAGGCGGCUUCCAUAAAUCGUGGGAUCGCAUCCCUAGCAUCAUAACGAAGAACCGAAGACCUUUAAUUUACGGAUCGCAAAUCGGUGGUCAUUUGACGGUCGCGUGUGAGUGGGGUCGAGCCGUGCGGCGUGCGUCGCGGAAGGCCGAUUGCGAGUGACGACGAGCAAUCGAAACGCGAUAAAAGGUGGGUGGUGACCAUCCCGAAGCAACUGGGCCCCCUUCUAUGUCUUUCUACAUUUUGAUUCUUGCAUCUUGUAUUAUUGGAUUAUAGGAUGAUUGUGCAUUGCCUUUCCUUAUGCUUUCCUUGAUGAUAUCGUAGCAUGUACUAGAUACUUGAUAUAGUGGAUUGAUAAGGAUUGGGUCGAGACUUGUGAAUCCUAUAGUGUAGAGAAAAAGAUGGGCUCAAUGGUUGGUUUAAUGUUAAACAAAGAACGAGUGGCAUCUAGUCGAUAGUAAACAAUGAACGAGUGGCAAUCUAGUUGAUAGUGCGUAAGAAAACAAGUGAUACAUGUCAAACUUAGUGUAUACGACACCUAUGGACUAUAUGAUGAUAGUAACCCUAGAGGAUAGGGUACCCUCGAGUGGAGAGGAUUGGAUCAUACUCACGGUCUGUUUUUAACUUGUGAUGGAAGCCCCACACAAGAAGUGCGCUCCGGUGUUGGUCACGUGGGAUGGCCUAUUUUGGGUCCCAAGGGAUGGCCUAUUUGGGGUCCCGGCAGACGGCCUCGGUUCGUAGUGCGAGUUGACCCUCCCUACCUUCGAGAUGGCUAGUGAGCAGUAGGCAAGCCUUCAGGGAAGCCACGAGAUUAAGAAACAAGUAAAUGAGAUUGAUGAAUAAGUACGUAGCUUUACUUUUUGGACAUGAUGACAGGUUAGCUGCUUACCAUUUCAUUGUACAUGCAUUCAUAUGUUUAUGAUUCGGGCAUAGUAGCAUAGCUUUACUAUCCUGUCUUACAGCUUUGCUUAUUAUCUAUCUAUCUAUCUAGUUAUCUACUUGUGCCCACUUGGACCUAGUGGGGAGACCGGCGGAGUCGGCGGCCGAACCCACUGGGAACUAAGGAAGUUAGUUCUCACCCCCCAUUUUACUACAGGGCUGAGCGCGAGUUCACGCUGCGAGGAUCGCGGUAAGGGCCUGGCGCCCUAGUUGCAUUAGUUUACUUUCCUAUCUUUGCAUUAGAGUCACCUUUUUAUGCAUUGAGAGUAGAUGAUGUAUAGGAUGUGAGAUAUUCUGGAAUGAAUGUAAGCUAAUGUUUAUAUUUUGGAAGAUGUAAGCUUUAUAUUAUGUUUAGAAGCUUAAUGUAUAAUCAAGUUGUAUUAUAAAGGCUGAAUGAAUGUAAUAGAUAGAUGUUCCUCUCUUUAUCAUUACUUGUAUAUAUCUUAUACUUGUAUCUUGCUCUUAGUUGUUUAGCACUGAUUGUGCUCUCCUCGUAGUUGUUGAGUGAUCAUGUAUGUAUUCAAGUGAUUUCCUGGGAACUUGUUGUACAUGAUCUCGCUGUUGGCCUUGGGCGGCGGACAGGGGAGGUGCUGUCCGUUCAGCAUCUGAUCGACGCGCCCGAACUGGACCAAAUUAGUAUCGGUUUCGGGGCGUGACAGAUAAAAAUGGUAUCAGAGCAGUUAAGAGCAAGUAAAGAGAGAAGUCUAGAAUGGACCUAGGAGACCCUAGGAUGGUGAACCCUAAGGUUAUAGGUGCGUGAGUGACGUGAACCUAUACGGUGGUGAAAUUUGGAUCGAUUGGGUUAAGUUAGUAAACCUCUAAGAUGGAUGUUAGAGGUGGAUUCAAGGUUUUGUUUAUUCUCACCCGAGAGUGUUCAUGUUGGAUGCAUACAACAUGAAACUGAGUGGUGAGAAUGGGCACCCUUGUAUGACUUUCGCCCGAUUGAGUUGCGUUGGCUAGUAUUUGCGACGAAGUUAGUGGGUUAAGGUAAUUAACCGAGUCGUUAUGUUUCAGGAGCUAAUGGCACCAAGGAGACACUACCCGCGUAGAACUGUUCCGACACCGCCUCCCGAGGUGCCUGGGCGAGCUGGGUCAAGUGAAGCGCAAGAAUUACGAGCGCAGAUGACUAUGCUUAUCGGCAUGAUUCAACGCUAAGGAAACCAGAUCGAGCAGCUCCAGGAGCUUUUGGAGCGGCAAGUGGCAGCGGCGGCCGUGACGGCAGCUGAAGGCCGUGGUCCGCCUACACCCUCGGCUCGUGCGCCUAAUGCGCCCGGGGCUGUGAGCAUUUUGGUAACUCCGGCGGCGGCGCAUCCCCUGCCGGCUAGUAUUCCUCUGGCGGUUUCGGGCUCUACGAUACUCGAUGCGACAGCUGGAGAGGUGAGGUGGGAACGCGAAGCUUUAAAGAUGAAUAGAGGAGAGAAACGGCCUGGUGGUGGUUCGGGGGGGACAGUCUAGUUCUAAGGAGCCCCCGAGGUGUCACGUCCCGCUAUCGCCAAUUUGGUCGAUCCGGGCCCGUACACAGACGCCGAACGAACAGCACCUCCUCUGUUCGCCCAAGGCUCAACAACAACGAGUAAUGUAUAAAGAAAUAAACAAUUCCCAAGAUCACAUUUCAGUAUACAUGGCUUGCACGAAGGCAAGCAACAAUCACAAGUGAUAGUAAAGCUAGCUAAACAUGAAAAUCACUGUAAUUUAAAACUUUCAAACUGAACUUUGCAUAACUGAGUAUGAAAGCAUUUAGUUAUUUACAUAUUCUAUAAUACAUUCAUUUACAUGUCUCUGUACAUCAAACUAGAUGAUACAUGAAGCCAAAAUGGUAAACUACUAGAACUCUGGUGUCAGCUAGCUAAGCUGCGGGGCCCUUGCCGCGAUCCAUGGCCACAACGCUCGCACUGGAACCUGUAUGGUUAGUGGUGUGAGAACUACAAGAAAGUUCCCAGUGGGUUCGGCCACCGACCUCGCCGACUCACCCACUAGGUCUAUUCAGGCAUAUGUAGGCAAGAAAAGUAACACAGAUAGUAACCAACUGUACAUGUAACUACUACAAUGCCUGUACAAGCUGAAAGAAAGCAAUAUAGGAAAACUGUAAAUAUGCAUGCAUGCUUUUUACUGAAUUUACCCAAUUCAUUGGUUAACCCUUUUGGUUAACAAUCACUCACUGACACUAUCCCAAAUAUCGGGGAGACGCAACCUGCACCCGACGGGACUGUCAACUGGGGGAGACGCAACCUCCUGGUCCAGUAAAGAUGACUACUCCGGAGCUCAUCGUUCAAGGAGGAGCGACCUCACUUGAACCAAACAAAUGUGAGUAUGAUCUGAUCCCCCUUUAGAGGAUUCAACUGACAAACACUGUCACAAUUUACUCUAACUAGUUCUUUAUGCUAGUUUCACAAAUUCAUUUCUCGAUGCUAACCAAACCUCUAGUUGAAUGUCACCAAGUUCACUAUUGUUAUAGUCCAUACAUUCAUAGGGUUCUAUGUCCAUAUUCUAAAGUCCACAAAUUCUCACUGUUGAUAGAAAUUCACAUUUUCACUUGCACAAUGCCAAUUACCCUAUAAUGCAUGACUAAACAAUUAUAAAUAUGCUCAAUGAAAUAUAAUAGACAUAAAAGGUGAUUCAAAGACUUCGGAUAGCACCACCCACCUGUAGUGGUGUCAACAACUAAGAUCAAUGUCUCGGGACUCGUCGACAACUAUCUCUCGCGACCCAGCGCAAAUAGAACUAGAACGGCCUCUACCGUAAUUAGCGCAUCGUCGACCUGUCGGAAAGUCAAUUUAGACUUUCGAGCAAGUUUAACUUUCAUUUAUAAAGGAUUAAAAGAGAUUAAACUGACAUCAUAGUCAUUUUUAGCAAAACUUGCAUUUCCAGUCCAAUUAUCAAUGCAUGUGUAUAUACAUAUAUAUAUCAACUCAAUGCUGAUUUCAGCAUCAAGCUGAAAUCAGAUCUCUUGCUGUAUUUUCAGCAAUUCACUUCUUCUUGAGCCAUUAUUCUAAAUAUAGAACAAUUAGUUCUAUAAUACAUACUUCUUUUAGAGUAAUCAACGCUGAUCUAGAAGUUCGUAAGGUUUAAAAGUCUCAGUUUCAUCAAUGUCACUCAACUUCAAUGUUUUGCUGAAUUUCAGUAUUUGUGCCUCAUAAUUCACUUUCAAACUCCCUAAGUAACAGAUUUCAUUGCUGAAAUCUACUUACUACAGCAGCAAUUCAGCUGUAACUCAAUCUUAAUCAGGAUUUAAUUAGAAUUAUCUCAAUUCAUGGUUCAAUUGGCCUAUUUUCAGCUCAUAUGAAUUCGACACUAUGCAGAAUUCUACAUAGUUCCGAAAUUUCAGCAACUAAACUCUUCUCCACAGCAGAAACAACACUUUAAACCAGAUUUAAGAUCAAUCCAUCUCAGCUGUUGCGCUAAUCAUUCAUCAACUUGUACAUAUAUAUACAUAUAUGCAGUUUUAUAUAGUUUCGAGUACUACUUUCAGCUUCAACUACCAAUUCAAUGCUGAAUUUAGUUCCUCGAAAUUCUAUAUUGAUCUUAUAGCUCAGAAAUAUCUUAAACCUCACUUACUUCAAGGCUCCACUUCAAGGUUGUACUAGACUUGCUGAAUUGCAAAACACCCAGAGGCUCCUUCCUCCUCUCCAAUUCUGGGUGCUCAGAAUUUUCACCAAGCAGCAGCUUCAAGUGGCAACUUCCUUAGUCACUGCUUCAAAUAGCUCAAUCCUCUAAUUCAGUAACUUCAACAGCAAGGGCUUCUUUUCAUCCUGCUUCAACAAGUUGAACCCCCUAUACGAUACACUUUAAUACUUUAGAACCUUGCCAUAGGGCAGAACUAUUAACUCCAGCUGAGAAUCAAGUUAGGUACCUCAAGUUCCAAGGUCCUUAGCUGGUUUUCCUUGAUUCGGCCAUUCCAUCAGACCAAAAUGUUUAGCCUGCUAGCUUCAACAGCCAAGAAACACUUACUUAAACCAUUUCUAGGCAACUAAUUUGACUAGAAGCAAUUAUUAAUCAAACUUACCUUAACUAGAGACCUUAUCUAAUUGAUCUCAGCACCCACAUCACCAACAGCACAAGCUUGCUGCUCCAACAACAGGAAUUCAGCUCAGAUUUCAGAUUUGCACUUGCUUCUUCACUAAUUCCCUCUUUCACAGCUCCUACACAUAGAAUAACACUUAUACUGCUUACUCUCUGUUUAGAGUAACUAAAAUUACUUAAAUCAGGGAUCUUACCUUAAUAUAGAGAUCUCUCCAAUUAGUCCCCUGCUCUCAGCUCAACACAAGGAAAAACUCAAGUCCAUCAGCUUUCACUAGCCUAGAGAGAGAGAAAGAGAAGAAAAUAGAUGAUAAGGAGAGAAGAGAAAUGGAAUCUCUGCCUUGGGACAGGUGUAUUCCACUAAGGGUGAAGGGAUAAGUCCAGAAAAUGCAGCUUAGCCCCUGAAAAUUGCAAAAGUGCAUUGCAACCUGCAGAUUUACAUUUCAGUCCCUGCAGUCUCGCAAUUCAGUCCCUGCACUAAACAACUAGCUGCAGCAGCACUUUGAAGCUUGUUUUGCCCAUCCAACUCACUUCAAGUCCACUCAAGCACUUCCAAAUUACACUAAUAUACCUCUACAAGUUGUCAAAUUAAUUUGGAAGCAAUUAAUUUCCAAUUUGGCAUCAUGUUGAUCAUUUUGAUCAACAUUAACUAGGAAUUUCAGCAUCAAGUAAUCAUGGCAAUUGAAGGUCUUUUGCUACUUCGAAUCCAUUCUUAUCCAUUCUCACAUUUCCAAAAUGUGCCAAGGACUAAUCUCAAGCUUCUAAUUAGGCUUAAGAUUGCUUAAUUUCCAUUUUUGCAUUAUUGUGAUCACUUUAGUCACAAUUAGCUCGAGAGAGAUUUUCAAUACAUUACAAUCUCCCCUCCUUAAAUAGUUUCGUCCUCGAAACUUAAAUUCAUACCUCAAGUUUCCUGGAUGAAUAGAUGGGGAUAGGCUUCACGCAUGGCAUCUUCCAAUUCCCAAGUGGCCUCUCGUCCCGAGUGAUUACUCCAUUGCACUUUCACAUAGGGAAUAGUGCGAUUUCGCAAUUCUCGCACAUCACGAUCAAGAAUACUUACUGGAUAUUCUUCAUAAGUCAUAUCCUCCUGUAGAUCCACAGGCUCGUAUUCCAUAACAUGNGACAGCGACGACAUUCACCUCUUCGGGACAGAUGGUGGAUGUGCAGCCUGUGGCACAGUCUGGAGAGCUAGGGGUGGUCGAGCAGCCGGAGGAUUCUCAGGGAGCGCCAAGCGGCCCUGGAUGCGCGGCUCAAGUCGAGGAACCUGCUGCUGUUGGUGAUGCUACCGCAGGUAUGAUUUAAUUAAAGCAAUCAUACAUUCUAGCAAGAAGUAGUUUGAGCAAUUGCAUGCAUUUGCUUUGUGGUCUUUCGCUACUAUUUACAUGUUAGUAUAGUGGCGACCAGGACGUGGGUUAGUGUACCUACCCUAGUAUGCAUAGGUUGUAGUAGUAUGUCACCUAAAGGGGAUUGGUGAUUAGUCAGUACCGGCAAGUUGCUGGUGACGAACCGAGAGCAAGACCCCCUUUGGGGAUCUGUGCAUUGUAGAGUGAGGCGGCAUACGCCUAGCCGUGCGUUGUUUGCAAACAAUCGGCAAAGGUGUGGUAGAAAGGCAUUCGAUGGGAUCGAUUGCCUGGCCUCCCUUCUGUGGCCAGGGAUGAGUUCGGGGAUUGGUAUCCUCUGUUCACUUCCCCGACGGUGAGAGAGGAAAGCUUCAGGAAAGGUUUCCAAAGCUGUGGCAGGUAAACUGCACCGUGAGACGAUACGAGCGGGAGUUCUUCCGUGUCGUGAAAUGCAUCCCGAACGUAGUGCGGGAUGACGAGGACAUGGCCGAAUUGCUUGUGCGGAGAUUUCGGCCGGGCGUUGUUAAGGUCGUGUAUGUAAGGGAAGUGAAUUCUCGAAAUACGAGGAUUGGACUUCGUGUGGAAUCGACCAAGGGUCGUGUUGGUGUGCUUCGAAAAAGUCGAAGAUGUCUAAAUCACCAAAGGUGCGUCGAAGUUGGAGUCCACGAGAGCAACUAGUGUAAACCUGCACUUGGCGGAGUUAGCUCUUGGGGACCAGUCCCUGGCAGGGAGAGACCGGUCCCCAUAGCUGAUAGGUGCGGGGUUGCUUGAUGCAACCGGUCCCUGGGCCAGAGGGACCGGUCCCCCGUGCGCGAAGUCAGUGAGAAGCGAAAGUUGGCUAAGUCCCGAAAAUGCAACUCUCGGGAACCAGUCUCUCAGAUAGGAACUGGUCUCCCGAGGACCGGUCUCUCGGGCAAGGACCGGUCCCCGUAGCUCGAAAUUGCCAAGUUUGGGGCAACGCACAUUCUUGAGUGCAAUCGCAAUCCCGAACCUCGGAGGUGCCUUUGUUGACUUCUUUGAGAUGCGGGAUUGUGGGAGUUCUCACCGAGCACGGUAUUGUGCGUUGCGUGGUGAGAUAGGCAUUCGUGCGGUUGAUUACAGGGUCGUGUUCUAGGAGGUAGCCUCUUCCUCUCCGAGACAGUUUGUGGAUGUGAAGUCUACAGAGUGGUCUAGAGAACGAGUGGUGAGGAAGCGACAAUGAAGGGUUCGCGGCGGGCACUGAGUGACCGUGAUUACGCGACCCUAGUCGAGGGACCUUGCAUGCAAUUAUCAUGUAGUCGCUUACUACCGUUGGUACAUCAACGUAGUAAGAACCAAAGAGACGGGCAAGUGUAAAUACCCGGGCAUGCUUGCGCGUGAAAGCGCAGCGCCUGUUGGAGCGGGUGGAGAGCUAGAUGGUACUAGCAAAGUGCUAGUAGUGGAUUCUAGGCAGGAAGUGGAGACUCCUGAUAGGAACGGAACGGUGAGGCGACUCUCAAAAUAACGGGUAGUUGAUUGCGAGAGUUGCACCGACGUUGAGAGUACCCAAGUAGUUCGGGUGCUUCGGACGUAGCCCCGGUAGACUGAGCGGCGAGAGUAGAAUCACUGUUGAGACAGGGGUUGGUCGGUUAUCGAGUUAUGGCCUCAACUGAGGUGACUGAGUUGUGCUCGUGGGAUCGCGUGCCUAGGCAAAAGUGCCUAAGGCUAGAUUUUGGAAUAGGGCGCUAGAGAGGCGUACGACGUGCGAGUGUAAGUACUCGUGGAGUGCGGAGCGGAUCAGCCGGAAGAGUGAGAUGGCAGUAGCACUGUAGCAUUGCUAAGUGUGAAGCGGGCCAUGGAUCACUCGUAAGGCUGGUGGCUCGCACUAGGUGCUUAGGAGCCGAUAGUGGUAUAUGUGACUCGAUAGAGUAUGUCGUGUAGGACGACGACGGCGGGUAGUGCUUGGGGAUGACCCGUGCCUGGACCAUUUGUGGACUGUGGAGCCUAGGCCCAUUGGGCAGGCACAGUCAGCUGUGAGAGACAGCGGCCCAAUGUAGGGCAGAGUUUUGGUCAGGGCGGUAGUCCGAGCUGAGACCCGGGAGCGUGGAAUGCCACGCGUGGAUCAUGAGAUCGAGGAUACACCUAGUAUGUAGUGACCCAACCCAAGGAUUUGACGUGGUUUGGGGUCUUAGUUGCUCCUGGUUGGAGUGUGUGCGAAUUCUCUAAUGAGAAUUCCGCCCAGUAAUGAUGAUUGGGUCUACGCUGGUGAGCGAGCGACGCUACGCGUAGUUGAGACUGGUUUAAGC
rnacentral:lncRNA from 1 species